rnacentral:rRNA from 1 species
UACGUAGGGGGCAAGCGUUGUCCGGAAUUAUUGGGCGUAAAGAGCGCGUAGGCGGUCCGAUAAGUCGUCUGUGAAAGUCAGGGGCUCAACCCUUGAAAGCCGGACGAUACUGUCGGACUAGAGUCCGGAAGAGGCAAGUGGAAUUCCCGGUGUAGCGGUGAAAUGCGCAGAUAUCAGGAAGAACACCCGUGGCUAAGGCGGCUCUCUAGUACGUGACUGACGCUGAGACGCGAAAGCGUGGGGAGCGAACAGG